CGCACAGUAAACGAUGAAUACCAGCUGUUGGCGAUAUACAGUCAGCGGCGUAAGCGAAAGCGUUAAGUAUUCCACCUGGGGAGUACGCCGGCAACGGUGAAACUCAAAGGAAUUGACGGGGGCCCGCACAAGCGGAGGAACAUGUGGUUUAAUUCGAUGAUACGCGAGGAACCUUACCCGGGCUUGAAUUGCAACCGAAUAAGCGAGAGAUCGUUUAGCCGCAAGGCGGUUGUGAAGGUGC
rnacentral:rRNA from 1 species